GUGACUGCGUACCUUUUGUAUAAUGGGUCAGCGACUUAUAUUCUGUAGCAAGGUUAACCGAAUAGGGGAGCCGAAGGGAAACCGAGUCUUAACUGGGCGUUAAGUUGCAGGGUAUAGACCCGAAACCCGGUGAUCUAGCCAUGGGCAGGUUGAAGGUUGGGUAACACUAACUGGAGGACCGAACCGACUAAUGUUGAAAAAUUAGCGGAUGACUUGUGGCUGGGGGUGAAAGGCCAAUCAAACCGGGAGAUAGCUGGUUCUCCCCGAAAGCUAUUUAGGUAGCGCCUCGUGAAUUCAUCUCCGGGGGUAGAGCACUGUUUCGGCAAGGGGGUCAUCCCGACUUACCAACCCGAUGCAAACUGCGAAUACCGGAGAAUGUUAUCACGGGAGACACACGGCGGGUGCUAACGUCCGUCGUGAAGAGGGAAACAACCCAGACCGCCAGCUAAGGUCCCAAAGUCAUGGUUAAGUGGGAAACGAUGUGGGAAGGCCCAGACAGCCAGGAUGUUGGCUUAGAAGCAGCCAUCAUUUAAAGAAAGCGUAAUAGCUCACUGGUCGAGUCGGCCUGCGCGGAAGAUGUAACGGGGCUAAACCAUGCACCGAAGCUGCGGCAGCGACGCUGAUGCGUUGUUGGGUAGGGGAGCGUUCUGUAAGCCUGUGAAGGUGUGCUGUGAGGCAUGCUGGAGGUAUCAGAAGUGCGAAUGCUGACAUAAGUAACGAUAAAGCGGGUGAAAAGCCCGCUCGCCGGAAGACCAAGGGUUCCUGUCCAACGUUAAUCGGGGCAGGGUGAGUCGACCCCUAAGGCGAGGCCGAAAGGCGUAGUCGAUGGGAAACAGGUUAAUAUUCCUGUACUUGGUGUUACUGCGAAGGGGGGACGGAGAAGGCUAUGUUGGCCGGGCGACGGUUGUCCCGGUUUAAGCGUGUAGGCUGGUUUUCCAGGCAAAUCCGGAAAAUCAAGGCUGAGGCGUGAUGACGAAGCACUACGGUGCUGAAGCAACAAAUGCCCUGCUUCCAGGAAAAGCCUCUAAGCAUCAGGUAACAUCAAAUCGUACCCCAAACCGACACAGGUGGUCAGGUAGAGAAUACCAAGGCGCUUGAGAGAACUCGGGUGAAGGAACUAGGCAAAAUGGUGCCGUAACUUCGGGAGAAGGCACGCUGAUAUGUAGGUGAAGUCCCUUGCGGAUGGAGCUGAAAUCAGUCGAAGAUACCAGCUGGCUGCAACUGUUUAUUAAAAACACAGCACUGUGCAAACACGAAAGUGGACGUAUACGGUGUGACGCCUGCCCGGUGCCGGAAGGUUAAUUGAUGGGGUCAGCGCAAGCGAAGCUCUUGAUCGAAGCCCCGGUAAACGGCGGCCGUAACUAUAACGGUCCUAAGGUAGCGAAAUUCCUUGUCGGGUAAGUUCCGACCUGCACGAAUGGCGUAAUGAUGGCCAGGCUGUCUCCACCCGAGACUCAGUGAAAUUGAACUCGCUGUGAAGAUGCAGUGUACCCGCGGCAAGACGGAAAGACCCCGUGAACCUUUACUAUAGCUUGACACUGAACAUUGAGCCUUGAUGUGUAGGAUAGGUGGGAGGCUUAGAAGUGUGGACGCCAGUCUGCAUGGAGCCGACCUUGAAAUACCACCCUUUAAUGUUUGAUGUUCUAACGUUGACCCGUAAUCCGGGUUGCGGACAGUGUCUGGUGGGUAGUUUGACUGGGGCGGUCUCCUCCUAAAGAGUAACGGAGGAGCACGAAGGUUGGCUAAUCCUGGUCGGACAUCAGGAGGUUAGUGCAAUGGCAUAAGCCAGCUUGACUGCGAGCGUGACGGCGCGAGCAGGUGCGAAAGCAGGUCAUAGUGAUCCGGUGGUUCUGAAUGGAAGGGCCAUCGCUCAACGGAUAAAAGGUACUCCGGGGAUAACAGGCUGAUACCGCCCAAGAGUUCAUAUCGACGGCGGUGUUUGGCACCUCGAUGUCGGCUCAUCACAUCCUGGGGCUGAAGUAGGUCCCAAGGGUAUGGCUGUUCGCCAUUUAAAGUGGUACGCGAGCUGGGUUUAGAACGUCGUGAGACAGUUCGGUCCCUAUCUGCCGUGGGCGCUGGAGAACUGAGGGGGGCUGCUCCUAGUACGAGAGGACCGGAGUGGACGCAUCACUGGUGUUCGGGUUGUCAUGCCAAUGGCACUGCCCGGUAGCUAAAUGCGGAAGAGAUAAGUGCUGAAAGCAUCUAAGCACGAAACUUGCCCCGAGAUGAGUUCUCCCUGACUCCUUGAGAGUCCUGAAGGAACGUUGAAGACGACGACGUUGAUAGGCCGGGUGUGUAAGCGCAGCGAUGCGUUGAGCUAACCGGUACUAAUGAACCGUGAGGCUUAACCUUACAACGCCGAAG
rnacentral:rRNA from 1 species